rnacentral:lncRNA from 1 species
CAUAUUAUACCAAAAGUAGCUAAGUUUCUAUACAUGCCAUACCCAAAACAAAACGUCUAAUUAUACCGAGUUAUUUCUUUGAUAGUGUGAUCGGCCUCCGACGUUUCCUUCGAUCCCUGAGUGGCUAGAUAAGUACUUUAAGAAGAAGAAAAUAAAGAGAUUAAGCACUAGGCUUAGUAAGCUUACAAGCAAAUAAAUUACAACAUUCAACAUAAUGGAUAAUUAUGCAUAAUAUCAUCUAACAUCAUAAAUUUCUUUACUUCUCAAUUUCUAUCUUCUUCUUUAUUCCCUUACCUUCUUUCUUACCUGACCUUUCCUUUUUCAUAAAUAUAAUCUACUUUUCC